AUUCAACAGUGGCAGGGAGGGAAGAGCCACAGCUCUGGAGAGCACUCUUUUCUUCUGGUCCAUUAUUUUCCCUGAAGAGACCCCUGACGCCUAAAGAGAUGGGGUCUCACUAUAUUCCCCAGGAUGGUCUCCAACUCCUGGACUCAAGCAAUCUUCCCACCUCAGACUACAGGCAUGAGCCACCAUGCCCAGCCAUAUUGUUCAUUUUUAAUCCUAGGUUAACUGAUACCUCCUCUGGGAAGCAGCACCUGAUUUCCAAGCCAAAUAAGACAUCACAUGGAAAUAUAACCAUGUCAUUGCCCCAUGCAAAAUUAUCUGGUGAUUCUCCAUUGCCUAGAGAACAAAAUUGAUGUCUCCUAAGCAAGAACAACAAGGCUCUUUCUGAUUUAACAAUUGCCCCCAGUUCUUCCCCAAACCCCGCCCUCAUUUAAUAUUCCAGCCAUAUGCAUCUAUGGUGGCUUCCUGAAUACAGCCAGCUCCUGCAUACUUCCCUAAUGCUAAGGUCCAUGCCAUCAAACUUAGGAGGUUGGAUCAACUUGCACUUGAAUUUCUGGAACACAAGCAUGCAAAAUGCAGAAACUGGCUGUACCCUGGUGACAGGGGAAAAGGCGUCCCUCCCAUGGGUGGAUCAGAAAUCAAGGGCUCUGCCGCUGCUCUUUGAGGGUAGUGGGUAAGAGUGUGGUCCUUGAACAGAAUCAAACCUGGCCUAACUCUUACUUGUCACUUACCAGCAAUGUAAUCUUGGCUGUGUCUCUGAACUCCCAUUUCUCUAUCUGGGGGAGGGAAAUGGUAAGAACACCCCUAAACUGUUAGAGGAAGGAAUGUCUGGCAUAUAGCAGGUGCUCAAUAAAUGUCCAUUCUUAUUAGAAUUUCUGGAAGAAACAGGCAAUGGUUCCCUGAAAUACCACUGGACUGUCACAAGCAUUUCAGUUGGGUUUCAUGCACUGUCUGAAGAGAUUGAUCCAAGCACCUUGGAUACAUCCGUAGCUCAACAUUAAAAGGCCAAGGUUAUAUCUUCCACUCCCAUCCUUCCCCUCCAGAGCCCCCCUCGGUGGAAAUGACAGAGUCAGGUAAGACACCUUCCUGGGGGAAAGCAUAUCUGCACUCAGGGAACAUGUUCAAGAAUUCAGCCUCUGCCUCUUCAGGCCUUAUAUGAUGUAUGGAUUACAGUAUAAAAAGAUCAAAUAUCUGGAGGCACAGGACUUGGAUUCUAAUCUUGGAUCCUAAUUCUGGCCCUGUUGGUUACCAGCUGUGUGAUCUUGGCUAAGUCACCUACCCUCUGUAAGCCUCAAAUUCCUCAUCUGUAAUAUGGAGGACCUACCUCACAAAUCAGAUGAUGAGAGGGAGAAUGUUUGGGGGUAUAGCCAUACUAUACAGUAUGGCUCAGGCCUAAGGUUCUUGAAUUUGCUUGUUUUUCCUCUUGGCCUAUUUUACUACAGGUUAAAAAUCUGUUAUCUGGCCAGGUGCAGUGGCUCACACCUGUAAUCCUAGCACCUUGGGAAGUCAAGGUGGGUGGAUCACUUGAGAUCUCAAGUUUGAGAUCAGCCUAGGCAACAUGGUGAAAACCUGUUCUACAAAAAAUACAAAAA
ensembl:lncRNA novel transcript